rnacentral:rRNA from 1 species
GACGAACGCUGGCGGCGUGCUUAACACAUGCAAGUCGAGCGGUAAGGCCCUUUCGGGGGUACGACGAGCGGCGAACGGGUGAGUAACACGUGGGUGACCUGCCCUCAGCUCUGGGAUAAGCCCGGGAAACUGGGUCUAAUACCGGAUAUGACUCCAUGACGCAUGUUGUGGGGUGGAAAGCCUUGUGCGGCUGAGGAUGGGCCCGCGGCUAUCAGCUUGUUGGUGGGUGAUGGCCACCAAGGCGACGACGGGUAGCCGGCCUGAGAGGGCGACCGGCCACACUGGGACUGAGAUACGGCCCACGACUCCUACGGGAGGCAGCAGUGGGGAAUCUUGCGCAAUGGGCGAAAGCCUGACGCAGCGACGCCGCGUGAGGGAUGACGGCCUCGG